rnacentral:rRNA from 1 species
CCUACGGGGUGCAGCAGUGAGGAAUAUUGGUCAAUGGACGAGAGUCUGAACCAGCCAAGUAGCGUGAAGGAUGACUGCCCUAUGGGUUGUAAACUUCUUUUAUAUGGGAAUAAAAUGUUCCACGUGUGGGAUUUUGUAUGUACCAUAUGAAUAAGGAUCGGCUAACUCCGUGCCAGCAGCCGAGGUAAUACGGAGGAUCCGAGCGUUAUCCGGAUUUAUUGGGUUUAAAGGGAGCGUAGGUGGAUUGUUAAGUCAGUUGUGAAAGUUUGCGGCUCAACCGUAAAAUUGCAGUUGAAACUGGCAGUCUUGAGUACAGUAGAGGUGGGCGGAAUUCGUGGUGUAGCGGUGAAAUGCUUAGAUAUCACGAAGAACUCCGAUUGCGAAGGCAGUUCACUGGACUGCAACUGACACUGAGGCUCGAAAGUGUGGGUAUCAAACAGGAUUAGAUACCCGGGUAGUC